CUGCGCUGGGCCCGUCUCGGGGACCCUGCGGCGACCUCGUCCCUUCGCCACCCGCAGUUGUGGGGGCGCAGGGACCCGGGCCCCCGCACGGACAACCGAGCACGGAGCACUGAGUACGGAGCACCGCGCGGAUGUACCCGGACCGGAGCGCCACUCUGCGCUCCCAGGAGGGGCCAGGGGAUGUUCCUGUGAGCUUUUCUGCGUCACGGCAGUGUGUACUGGUAACCAAGCCUGGUGCUGCUUGACCACAAAGCCAAGGUAACAUUUUAACGCCCUUGGCUACCACUUCUGCCAUCUGGGUUUUUUUGGGUCUGUUUCUAUUCAUCAGUGUCUCUUUUCCUGUUAUUUUCCUCUCCUGAGACAGUCACUCAACAUGCAGCCCAGCCUGCCUUGCAUCCUCCUGCCUCAGCCUCCCAAAUGCUGGGAUUACAGGUGUGGUCCACCAUGCCACUGCCCACUGGCUUGCCCUCCCACGCUCUUUGUGGUGCUGGGGAUCAAAACCAGGACCUGUGCAUGCUCAGGAAAUGUUCUACCACAAAGCUACAUCUCGAACCCUCAACUCUCACACUUGCCAUCCUCCUGCCUCCAGAAUGCUGGAACUAGAGCAGCUUUUAAUCUAGGGCCUUGUUAUGGUUUGGAUGCUACAUGACCCCACAGGCCUCUGGAUUAGAGGUUUGCUCCCCAGGGGGAACCUUGGAGAGGUGGUACUUGGGAGAGUCUGUAGGUCACAGGUAGUGUGGCCUCAGCAGGGACUGUGUGCCCCUAGUCAAUGUAGCAAUUUAGAAAAAAACUGUCUCAAUAAAUAAAGGACUGAAGAAUUUUAAAAAGAACAAGAGUGGAGGUGUAGUUCAGUGCAGAGGCCCUGGGUUCAAUCCUCCAUACUGAAAAAGGAAGGCAGGAAGGGAAGGAGGGAGGGAAGAAAGAGAAGGAAGAGGAGGGAGCAGGAAGGGAAAAAUAAAAGAAAAUGAUUCAAAGAAUGUUAUGGCUGUAUUUAGACGUUGCCUCAGAGCCACAUGUGGUCAUAGGUGGAGCUUUUCGGAGGUAGCUGGGUCAGGGUGUAUAACGCUGGGAUGAAGGAUUUGAUGCUGGGAUUGAUUCACUGUGUGAUGCUAAGACUAAAGGUGUGAGUACUACUCACCCUAAGGCCAGGUAGCCUGGAUAAGUUAUAAGGGACACAAAGAGCUGUGCUCCUCGCUUGUUGCUUGUAGCUUGCUGGGUUGGCUGCCCCCUGCCUGCCAUGGACUGUUUCUCCUCUGCGAUGCCCUCUGCCAUGCCACCUGGCCUUGAAGCCAGAGUUGACUAUGGACUGAAACUGCUGCAAACUGUGAG
rnacentral:lncRNA from 1 species